UCGCCUACAUGAAGCUGGAGUUACUAGUAAUCGCAGAUCAGAAUGCUGCGGUGAAUGCGUUCCCGGGUCUUGUACACACCGCCCGUCACACCAUGAGGGUCGGGAACACCCGAAGUCCGUAGUCUAACCGCAAGGAGGGCGCGGCCGAAGGUGGGUUCGAUGACUGGGGUGAAGUCGUAACAAGGUACC
rnacentral:rRNA from 1 species